rnacentral:lncRNA from 1 species
AUGCUGGACAUGGGGGGCACACAUCCAUCAACCCUGUCCGGGGGGGGGGGGGACACCCACAGGUGUCUGCAAGUGUCUAGAAGCUCCAGUGCUUGGAACUCUGUUUUGCGGAACUUCGGCGGCUUCUCACCUGAGGGCACCCACCUAGAUUCACCAGGCAGCACUACACCCCGCGUCUGGGUGCCCUGGGUCUCAGCCAGAGGCCCAAUCGAACACCCCAGUGCCCAAAUCUACUACACUGGAGCGACGCAGGAUGUGUGCGUCUACCCUAGUCUCCAGCCCCGGGGCUUAGGGGACCCUCCCCCAGGGAUAAGAAUGGGGAGGAGGUCCUCCCAGAGGUUCUGUGCCGGGGCAGCAGGCCCCCUGCAGCCCCAGUGGGAGCGGCCUGGGACAGGCGAGCCAAGGGGUCCAGACCGGGAAGUUGGGGUUCAGCCUCCCAAGGGUCGGAGGCUUUGGAAGAGCGCAGACGGCCAGGAGGCGGGCAGGCAGCGGCUGCGGAAUGAAUCUCUCUCUUUCGGCAGAUGCCUGGGGGAUGGGGAGCCCAGGGAAGGGGGCUCGAUCAGGGAGCGUAUUCCGCCCCCCCUGCACCCCAGCCUUGGUACGGCUUUAAAAUCCUGCGGAGUUUGUCAUAGGCCGGUCUCACCACGCAUGCGCAAAGGCGAAGUUGAGUUUUUUUUUUUUUCUUUCUUUUCUCCCCCCUUCCCUCUCUCUUUCCAGCCGCCUUUGGUUCUGCAACUUAAAAAAAAAAAAAAAAAAAAAAAAAAAUCUUUUUUUCCCCCCUCUGAAAACUGCAGGGGAAAGAGGAGUCCGGAGAGAGGGAGAGAGAGCGUGAGGCAGUUGGCCAGGAGGGCCAGGGGGUGGGGGGGCGGGGGGGACACGGUCCCUGCGGUCAGUCAGUCUGCGGGGCACAGGAUCGCGUGGAAGGCUGCUGCAAGCUCCAAGGCGCCGCCUCCGCCGCCCAGAGUCCGGUUCGGUGCGGCCGCCGCCGAGCGAGCUCCUCCCGCCGCCGCCGCCGCCGCGCCGUGCCCCCGACCGCCCGCCGCCCGCUUGCAAGCUCGCCCGCCCCUGGGGCCCCGGCGCCAAACGAGGUGGGCAGCCGCGCCGGCCAUGGACCGCCAGAACUGA